AGAGUUCUGAAAAUAACGUAGAUGCUGUAAGAGAUUCUUCGCAGGACCAAACAGAUACAACUGCAAGCAAUAAAACACUUAACGACACAAUCGCAAUAGACUCGCAGGAGUCGUUAUUCGCAGAAGAAGAGCCUCCGAGAAACCCGUUUUUGAAAAGCCUGAAAAAACCCGAUUCUAAUUCGUCGCAUUCUCAAUCACCUACCUUAAAUAAUAAGAAAAAGGAUAAAGAGAAUGAUAACACUUAUUCAAAUAAACCCUCAGAAAAAAGAAAAAACCCCGACUUAGAUUCGUCGAGGGAGGAGAGUGAAAAGCCGAAAGACAAACAAAGGAAAUUGGACUGCUUUAGAUUUACAAAAACGUAAGUGAUUAUUUAUUUAAGCAGAAACUUUAUUAAUUUCUAUGGAUUCUUAGGAACUAUUUACAAUAAUUAAUAUUUAUGAUUAUUCUGUACAUACAUAAACGUAAUUUUUUUCUUA